GAUGAACGCUGGCGGCGUGCCUAAUACAUGCAAGUCGAGCGAACGGACGAGAAGCUUGCUUCUCUGAUGUUAGCGGCGGACGGGUGAGUAACACGUGGAUAACCUACCUAUAAGACUGGGAUAACUUCGGGAAACCGGAGCUAAUACCGGAUAAUAUUUUGAACCGCAUGGUUCAAAAGUGAAAGACGGUCUUGCUGUCACUUAUAGAUGGAUCCGCGCUGCAUUAGCUAGUUGGUAAGGUAACGGCUUACCAAGGCAUCGAUGCAUAGCCGACCUGAGAGGGUGAUCGGCCACACUGGAACUGAGACACGGUCCAGACUCCUACGGGAGGCAGCAGUAGGGAAUCUUCCGCAAUGGGCGAAAGCCUGACGGAGCAACGCCGCGUGAGUGAUGAAGGUCUUCGGAUCGUAAAACUCUGUUAUUAGGGAAGAACAUAUGUGUAAGUAACUGUGCACAUCUUGACGGUACCUAAUCAGAAAGCCACGGCUAACUACGU
rnacentral:rRNA from 1 species